rnacentral:rRNA from 1 species
CACGGGGGGAGCAAGCGUUGUUCGGAAUUACUGGGCGUAAAGGGCGUGUAGGCGGUCAAGUAAGUGGAAUGUGAAACGCCUCGGCUUACCCGAGGACCUGCAUCCCAAACUGCUUGGCUUGAGUAUGGGAGAGGAUGAGGGAAUUCCUGGUGUAGCGGUGAAAUGCGUAGAUAUCAGGAGGAACACCGGUGGCGAAAGCGCUCAUCUGGCCCGAUACUGACGCUGAGGCACGAAAGCGUGGGGAGCAAACAGG